GCUCACCCUCUCUCUGUCAGC
rnacentral:miRNA from 2 species